AUAUUGGACAAUGGGGGAAACCCUGAUCCAGCAAUGCCGCGUGUGUGAAGAAGGCCUUCGGGUUGUAAAGCACUUUCGAUGGGGACGAAAAAAGUGGGGCUAAUACCCCCGCUCUUGACGGUACCCAGAGAAGAAGCACCGGCUAACUCUGUGCCAGCAGCCGCGGUAAUACAGAGGGUGCAAGCGUUAAUCGGAAUUACUGGGCGUAAAGCGUGCGUAGGUGGUUUGUUAAGUCGGAUGUGAAAUCCCCGGGCUCAACCUGGGAACUGCAUUCGAUACUGGCAAGCUAGAGUGUGGUAGAGGGUAGUGGAAUUCCCGGUGUAGCGGUGAAAUGCGUAGAUAUCGGGAGGAACAUCAGUGGCGAAGGCGGCUACCUGGACCACAACUGACACUGAGGCACGAAAGCGUGGGGAGCAAACAGG
rnacentral:rRNA from 1 species